AGUGAACGCUGGCGGUAGGCCUAACACAUGCAAGUCGAACGGCAGCACAGUAAGAGCUUGCUCUUACGGGUGGCGAGUGGCGGACGGGUGAGGAAUACAUCGGAAUCUACUUUUUCGUGGGGGAUAACGUAGGGAAACUUACGCUAAUACCGCAUACGACCUACGGGUGAAAGCAGGGGAUCUUCGGACCUUGCGCGAUUGAAUGAGCCGAUGUCGGAUUAGCUAGUUGGCGGGGUAAAGGCCCACCAAGGCGACGAUCCGUAGCUGGUCUGAGAGGAUGAUCAGCCACACUGGAACUGAGACACGGUCCAGACUCCUACGGGAGGCAGCAGUGGGGAAUAUUGGACAAUGGGCGCAAGCCUGAUCCAGCCAUACCGCGUGGGUGAAGAAGGCCUUCGGGUUGUAAAGCCCUUUUGUUGGGAGAGAAAAGCAGCAGGUUAAUACCCCGCGGUUCUGACGGUACCCAAAGAAUAAGCACCGGCUAACUUCGUG
rnacentral:rRNA from 1 species